UACGUAGGGUGCAAGCGUUAAUCGGAAUUACUGGGCGUAAAGCGUGCGCAGGCGGUCAUGGAAGACAGAUGUGAAAUCCCCGGGCUUAACCUGGGAACUGCAUUUGUGACUGCACAGCUGGAGUGCGGGAGAGGGGGAUGGAAUUCCGCGUGUAGCAGUGAAAUGCGUAGAUAUGCGGAGGAACACCGAUGGCGAAGGCAAUCCCCUGGGCCUGCACUGACGCUCAUGCACGAAAGCGUGGGGAGCAAACAGG
rnacentral:rRNA from 1 species